rnacentral:rRNA from 1 species
UGGGGAAUAUUGCACAAUGGGCGCAAGCCUGAUGCAGCCAUGCCGCGUGUAUGAAGAAGGCCUUCGGGUUGUAAAGUACUUUCAGCGGGGAGGAAGGUGUUGAGGUUAAUAACCUCAGCAAUUGACGUUACCCGCAGAAGAAGCACCGGCUAACUCCGUGCCAGCAGCCGCGGUAAUACGGAGGGUGCAAGCGUUAAUCGGAAUUACUGGGCGUAAAGCGCACGCAGGCGGUCUGUCAAGUCGGAUGUGAAAUCCCCGGGCUCAACCUGGGAACUGCAUUCGAAACUGGCAGGCUAGAGUCUUGUAGAGGGGGGUAGAAUUCCAGGUGUAGCGGUGAAAUGCGUAGAGAUCUGGAGGAAUACCGGUGGCGAAGGCGGCCCCCUGGACAAAGACUGACGCUCAGGUGCGAAAGCGUGGGGAGUAAACA